CCUACGGGAGGCAGCAGUAGGGAAUAUUGCUCAAUGGGGGAAACCCUGAAGCAGCAACGCCGCGUGAAGGAUGACGGUUUUCGGAUUGUAAACUCCUUUUGUUAGAGAAGAUAAUGACGGUAUCUAACGAAUAAGCACCGGCUAACUCCGUGCCAGCAGCCGCGGUAAUACGGAGGGUGCAAGCGUUACUCGGAAUCACUGGGCGUAAAGGGCGCGUAGGCGGGUUAGCAAGUCAGAUGUGAAAUCGUAUGGCUUAACCAUAGAAGUGCAUUGGAAACUGUUAUUCUUGAGUAUGGGAGAGGUAGGUGGAAUUCGUGGUGUAGGGGUAAAAUGCGUAGAGAUCAAGAAGAAUACCCAUUGCGAAGGCAGCCUGCUAAACUAUAACUGACGCUGAUGCGCGAAAGCGUGGGUAGCAAACAGGAUUAGAUACCCGGGUAGUC
rnacentral:rRNA from 1 species